ensembl:lncRNA
ACCCCAGUACCUCCCAGGGAAGGGAUGGGCAGAGCAGCCUCCCGCUCCCCCCCAGCGGGCUCAGCCCCCUCCCCAGCUGUGCCCCUCACGGCGCGCCGCGGGCACCAGGCUCGCUCCAGCUCUGCGCUCCCGUCCCCGCCACUUCUUGCAGGGCUGGCGCCGGGAACCAGCGGAGAUGCCGCCGGUGCUGGGAGGCGCGGCGGUCCCCUGGCUGCUGCUGCUGCUGCUCUCUGCCUCCGGCCUGACGGAUGAGCAAACGGAUCUGCCUCCCUUCUCAGCAACUGGAGGACUCCACUCAGUUUUGGAGGACACCGUGUCACCAGCCUUCAGUGCUACUGUUAUCAUCAUUGUAACUGUUAUCCUAUCGGGGAGUGCUUAUUUGUGUUUCCUGAAAUACAUCUGCUCUGGAUGCUGCAAAUCCACACAAGUGGAACCAGUCAGAAGACUGGAUCCUAGCAGAUCUGAAGAACAAGUGUAACCUAACCUAAACAUUCAGCUCAUCACCAUUUUGAUGGGCCCCCUCACGAGAUCUCCUGGAGGACAAAGGCAUGGACAGCCUGUACCUGGAAUUAAGAAGAAAUGUCGGAAAGGGAAGGCAGAGGAGAUGUGGCUUCCAGGGAAUUAGGUCAGCUGCAAGACCUCUGUAUAAUAUCAGAGCCUUACCAUGCUUUCCCUUCUGUAUCUGCGGCUGGUUUAUACUGGAUAGAGUUAAUCUCCUUUGAAGGCCUUAUUGAUGAAUUGUUACUACAGAUCACGCAUUCCUGUCCACAAUGUGUCUUUAUCAUAGCGCAGGGGGGAGGGAUAGCUCAGUUGUUUGAGAAUUAGCCUGCUAAACCUAGGGUUCUGACCUCAAUCCUUGAGGGGGCCAUUUAGGGUUUUGGGGCAAAAAUCUGUCUGGGGAUUGGUCCUCCUUUGAGCAGGGGGUUGGGUUAGAUGACCUCCUGAGAUUCUAUGAUUUCAUUCUUUCCAGUUAAGCUGGUGACAUUUGGUUUAUUAUGGGUACAUCUGUUAGCCUCUGUUUGACAUUUCUUGAGGGAACCUUGGAACCUUUGGUCCAUUGGAGAAUAUGAAGCCACAAAGUGUUACCCAAUCUUCUCUGUUAGUACAGACUCAUCAGUAUUAGAUACCAAAAAAAGUGG